rnacentral:misc_RNA from 1 species
UGGAGGAACACAAUCGUGAUGCAAGUAAGAUAAGCCCUCUGCUGCAUCUAAAGCUAUCUUGUACCUUGUUGGCCAAUCCAACGGGCCUCCCUUGCUACUAUGCAACAAGUCACCCAAGCUCCCAUUUGGCAUAUACUCGUAAACCAGAAGCUUGCAGUCCCCAUUGUUGCAGCAACACCACAAUCUCACAAUAUUCUUGUGCCUGAUCUUGCCCAAAGUUUCGACCUCCACUUCGAAUUCAUCUUUGUCGUAGUUGGCACUAGCAUCCUCUUUCCUGCUCCCUCCACUUAGUUUCUUUACCGCCACUGUCUCACCAUUACUAAGCACGACCUUGUAUACUUUCCCAGAAGCUCCAGUUCCAAUCACAUUAUCUUCCUUAAGGGAAUCAGCAAUCUCAAAUUCACUGAAUCCAAGCUUAUGGAAAGACCUCCACUUGGAUAUUGUAAUCCCUUUCUUACCUUUGUUGAAAUUCCGGUACUUGAAGUAGAACCAAACAACGCCAACAACAAAAACUAAACCAGCAAGUAUAAAAAUCGAUCUGAGAAGCCACAAGAAGCUCAUCUUCUUAGACUCACCCAUCUCAGGACAAAGGCCCUCCAAGUCACCACACAAUCCUGGAUUUCCCACGAAGCUAUUCUUAUAAAUCUCCUUUGCAAAAAGAGGAGGGAGCUCUCCAGAAAGCAUAUUAUUUGACAAGUUCAACAAAUUGAGCUUCAGUGUUUGCAAUUCAAGUGGGAUUUUCCCAGAAAAGUGAUUCCCAGAAAGAUCAAGGUAAUUAAGCACUGGCAAGUUCCCAAUUUCAUCAGGGAUGGGACCAGAUAGCUUAUUGUUUGCCAAAUUAAGCUCAUUUAAACUCUUCCAACCUCGAAUUCCCGCGGGGAACCCACCAGACAAUUCAUUACCAUUAAGGACAAGCCUAUUUAACACACUCAAAUUAACCAAGCUUCCAGGAAUUGGACCCGCAAACAUAUUAUUACUUGCAGAAAAUUCAAUCAAAUUGCCAAGAAAACCAAUCUCCAUAGGUAUGUGCCCAGAAAACUUGUUGUCUGAAAUGAGCAAAACAGAGAGAUUAUAAGCGCCAGAUAUUCUUGCGGAAACUUGCCCAGAUAAUGAGUUCCCCACAAGCUCAACCAAAUACACUCUUGGAAGCCCCCAGAACUCUUCUGGAACAGUCCCAGAAAGCCGGUUGUUCCUUAACCGAGCACGGCCUAAACUGCGGCAUUUUCCCAGACUUUCUGGGAUUUUCCCGGAAAAUGAAUUGUAUAUCAAAAUGAGGUCUUCUAAUACCCCCUUUGCACACAAAUUGUCCGGUAUUUCACCAGAAAAUCCAUUGUAUGACACAUCAAGGGACCUCAACGGCGAUUUCUGGCCGAGUUCGCUCGGUAAUUGACCAUUUAGCUUGUUAUUGAACAAUUUGAGCUCGUAUAAGUUGGGAGACUUGGCUAUACUCUCCGGUAAUAUCCCUUCGAGUCUGUUCUCGUACAAAUUCAGUGACUCAAGCUCCAACUCGCACAGCUCAUUUGGAAUCGUCCCGGUUAACUGAUUCAUGGAGGCAUCGAAUCUUCUCAGCUUCGUCAAGUUUGCAAAUCCCACUGGUAGCGUGCCAGACAAAGAGUUGUUGAAUAGCUCAAUUUGGACAAUAUUCUUCAACUCGGCGAGUGAACUCGGGAUUGGCCCGGUCAGUCUGUUCUGAGACAAAUCCAAGUUUUCCAACCGAGUUAAACGGCUCAGACUUGUAGGAAUGGGACCAAUAAGCUUACAGUCAGAAAGCCAGAGCUCUUUAAGAUUCGUUAAGUUGGCGAGUUGAAUCGGAAAUGGACUCGGGGUGAAAGGGUUAUAAGCGAUAUAGAGAAAUUCAAGAGUCGAAAUGUUACCGAGCUGACUGGGUAUAGUUCCGUUAAGGAAAUUGCCGGCAAGCAAGAGCGUCUCAAGCCGCCGAAACUCCCCAAAUUUCACCGGUAUCUCACCGGUUAAAUUGUUUCCCGCCAAACUCAGGUACCGGAGAUUUGGCAAGUACGCGAGAGAUUCCGGGAUGGGACCCACUAAAAGAUUCUGGCCCAAGUCCAAGUACUCGAGAUUCCUACACGGGGAGAAAUCAACGGGCAGGGACGAGUUGAUAGAAUUGUUGUUGAGAGAGAUGAAGGUAAGAGAAGGAAGGCGGCAAAGAAAGGUAGGGAAGGGACCGGAGAGGAAAGAGUUGGAAAGGUCAACCGAGUGGACUCGUUGAGUUACAGAGUCGCAAGUGAUGCCGUACCAGUUGCAUGGAGUUUCGUCUCGUUGGUUCCAGUUAGAGAGGGCGUGAGUUGGAUCGGAGAGGCCGAGUUUGACUCGCUCGAGGUAGAGACCUUCUUGGUUGAGGGAAAGAGAAGGGAAGGGGAAGGAAAGGAAGAGAAGGGAAAGAAAGAGUAGCAUUUUUAAAGCAAAAGAGUAAGGGAGAGGGAAAACGUGUUUGAGUUUUGGUUUGGUCUGUUUCCGUUUAUGUUUCAAAUUCAGACAGUGAACUGAACAGAAGAGGAGAUGAGAUUUUGAAGCCUGCCGUGGGAGUUAUUUUGCACGUGGGACCUACUUUGGAUGACAAAUGUGGGGUCUACUAGGGACAUUUGGCAA